GAACGGGGAGCAGCCCAGAGCCUGAAUCAGUGUGUGUGUUAGUGGAAGCGUCUGGAAAGGCGCGCGAUACAGGGUGACAGCCCCGUACACAAAAAUGCACAUGCUGUGAGCUCGAUGAGUAGGGCGGGACACGUGGUAUCCUGUCUGAAUAUGGGGGGACCAUCCUCCAAGGCUAAAUACUCCUGACUGACCGAUAGUGAACCAGUACCGUGAGGGAAAGGCGAAAAGAACCCCGGCGAGGGGAGUGAAAAAGAACCUGAAACCGUGUACGUACAAGCAGUGGGAGCACGCUUAGGCGUGUGACUGCGUACCUUUUGUAUAAUGGGUCAGCGACUUAUAUUCUGUAGCAAGGUUAACCGAAUAGGGGAGCCGAAGGGAAACCGAGUCUUAACUGGGCGUUAAGUUGCAGGGUAUAGACCCGAAACCCGGUGAUCUAGCCAUGGGCAGGUUGAAGGUUGGGUAACACUAACUGGAGGACCGAACCGACUAAUGUUGAAAAAUUAGCGGAUGACUUGUGGCUGGGGGUGAAAGGCCAAUCAAACCGGGAGAUAGCUGGUUCUCCCCGAAAGCUAUUUAGGUAGCGCCUCGUGAAUUCAUCUCCGGGGGUAGAGCACUGUUUCGGCAAGGGGGUCAUCCCGACUUACCAACCCGAUGCAAACUGCGAAUACCGGAGAAUGUUAUCACGGGAGACACACGGCGGGUGCUAACGUCCGUCGUGAAGAGGGAAACAACCCAGACCGCCAGCUAAGGUCCCAAAGUCAUGGUUAAGUGGGAAACGAUGUGGGAAGGCCCAGACAGCCAGGAUGUUGGCUUAGAAGCAGCCAUCAUUUAAAGAAAGCGUAAUAGCUCACUGGUCGAGUCGGCCUGCGCGGAAGAUGUAACGGGGCUAAACCAUG
rnacentral:rRNA from 1 species